CUCAUCCAUGGCUUCGUCCCCGUUCGUCGUGCCAAUCACCAACCUGCAGCCAGGUCCCACGUUAUGAUCUGUCUCCUCAUUGAUCGUGGUGUGACGGCCUUCUUGAAUUUGACGGGAGAAUGCUGCAUCUAUGUUUAGGUCUAUCUUGAAUCCCAGGGUAACAGACACUCUGUAAUGUUGGUCACCACAACCAAACCACAGCUGUUUGGAGUAGGUUCGUCUCAGCUCGACGGCAGCCACCAAUUAUUACUUCGAUACAAACAUUACCCCCAUUGAAGAAUCCAUAAGAAGCUUGGGAAUUGCAGAAGAUUACCAUUUUACAUGUGUUCAGACAAGCGAGCCCAUUCAAAACACAAAUCUAGGAGAUGACAUUGAAGCUGGACACCUCCCACCUUCUUCUAGCGAUUAAACUAAUGAGGAGGAUGCAAAAAUAAAGACAACAUCUCCGUCAGUUGUUGUUGGAAGACACACA